GGCAGGGGAGAUACCAUGAUCACGAAGGUGGUUUUCCCAGGGCGAGGCUUAUCCAUUGCACUCCGGAUGUGCUGACCCCUGCGAUUUCCCCAAAUGCGGGAAACUCGACUGCAUAAUUUGUGGUAGUGGGGGACUGCGUUCGCGCUCUCCCCUGGUUUUACUGUACAACGUUAGACUUUUGAGUUGUGUAAGGGAAAAAACUUAAGCUAGAAGAGUGUGCUUGUCUAGUUACUGCUGUUUUUUUUUCUUGAUAUUUCUUUUUACUGCUAGAUGGUAUUAUAGAGCUGGAAACUCUAAAAUCUUUUAUUAAACUGCUCUUUAGUUUGGAGUUUAUUUGUUGUAACCCCAGUGAAUUUCAUUAGGCCUGUCGGUACCUGUAGGCCUGUAGGCUGGUGUAAAAAGGUUAUGCUGUCAAGUUGCCUUAUACUUGUACUUAUUUAUAUCUGGUUUGUGGUUUUUCUCAACUGGCCAGAGAAGCGGUUUUAUGCAGCACGAACGUUGAUUGACGUAGAGGUCGCUGCUGGGAUCCACAACCAGUCAAAACGCUGAUAAUAAAUGAGUUCAGAUGAAUGGUCUACACCAACCGCACAACUCAUAAGAAUUUAAGAACUGGCAGCAUGUGAAUGGGAGUAGAGCUGUGAAAUGCUGUCUACUGGAGGUGAUGCAGCGGUCGCACACGUCACCUCACAGAAGCUGUAUUUACAUGGUUACACUCUGGAAAAGGAAUUGGGCCAUACCUCCUAGACUACACUGGAUCCAACUUACUCCAUUUCAACUAACACUCCAACUAGAGUUUCGAGUACUGACUCCAAUCAAAUUGAGGAUUUCAAACUAGAUCUUCAAUCAAGCAAAUCCCAUCUAACAUGGACUGGAUAUAAUCCAUUAGAGGCUUUCACUAUACUAACAUUUUCCCCCCACAGGACCCCACAAAGCUACCAUUGUCCCAUUUAAGCAGGAUGUAACUUAGAGGAUGCUAUGCCCCCGUUCCCCAUUAUUGUCUAUUAGGGUAGUGUAAGCCUAGUUCUAAGGAAUAACUUUCCUAUUAAGACUUAGCUGAAAUAGACAUAGUUAGGAUGUGCAAAGAAGAUUAUUGUAUCUUCUUGUAUUUCACCUUUAUGAUUGUUAAUUUUGGAUAUUUUAGACUAUUAAGCUUUAAUCCUCUAUUAGACUAAAAGGGGAGUUGUAGGAGACACCAUCACCAUGCCUCCUAGGGGCUGGCUACAGGUGUGCCUGACCAUGCCUGUCAAGGUGUGGUCAAGGUGAUGUAAGGGUGACACAGGAUGGGCUCUUAGCAACCCCGAGC
rnacentral:lncRNA from 1 species